rnacentral:rRNA from 1 species
AGAGGGUGCGAGCGUUGUCCGGAAUUACUGGGCGUAAAGGGCGCGUAGGCGGUCCGAUAAGUAAGGGGUGAAAUCUCACGGCUCAACCGGGAGGCUGCCUUCUAGACUGUCAGACUUGAGCACGGUAGAGGCAGAUGGAAUUCCCGGUGUAGCGGUGGAAUGCGUAGAGAUCGGGAAGAACACCAGUGGCGAAGGCGGUCUGCUGGGCCGUUGCUGACGCUGAGGCGCGACAGCGUGGGGAGCAAACAGGAUUAGAUACCCUGGUAGUCCACGCCGUAAACGAUGGGCACUAGGCGUCGGGGGGAGCGACCCUCCCGGUGCCGUCGCUAACGCUGUAAGUGCCCCGCCUGGGGAGUACGGCCGCAAGGCUG